GGCGAACGGGUGAGUAACACGUGGGUGAUCUGCCUUGCACUUCGGGAUAAGCCUGGGAAACUGGGUCUAAUACCGGAUAGGACAGCUGUUUAGUGUCAGUUGUGGAAAGUUUUUUCGGUGCAAGAUGAGCUCGCGGCCUAUCAGCUUGUUGGUGGGGUAAUGGCCUACCAAGGCGUCGACGGGUAGCCGGCCUGAGAGGGUGGACGGCCACAUUGGGACUGAGAUACGGCCCAG
rnacentral:rRNA from 1 species